rnacentral:lncRNA from 1 species
UUUUGUUUUUUUUCUGAUUACAAAUUCGGGAAAACCUAUUUUCCAAAAAUCGCGUUCUUCCUCCCUCACUUGAUUUCGUUCACGAUUUGCAGUGCGGACACAAUCAUCCUCCCGAUUCGGAGUCAAUAACUUUUUCGUAAUAUCAGAGCCACAAGGAUUCUAAACUACGUAUAGUAUUGGAUGUGGUGAGAGUUUACGACUGCCAUAUCCACUCGAUCUUCACAAAUCUUCGAUCCGCGCACAUUUCUUUAUUCCGAUCGAUCAUUAUUUGGUAACCCCUCUUCCUUAAAGGCUCGAUCUCGAUCAUUAUUUCCUUUGAAUCUAUUCGCCCUGUUAAUUGUCGCUUGUAUUUUUUUUACCAAUUGUUUUUUUUCCUUUUAUAUCUCUUCCUCUGUGUUUGAUUUACAUAUGUCGGAGUUGGUCACUGAAAGUUAGGGGUAACUCGGUCGGUUUCGAUCAAUAGGUGAUUAAUUGUUGGUCGCUUAUAACUGGUUUUCUUAUAGUGACAUAGAUGAAAUGCAUCUAUGAUGUAUCAAGUUUUAAGCCUAGGGUUAAUGUUAGGGUUAGUUUAAUUAGGCUUAGGUUUAGACCUGUAUGCUGCAAUUUUUAAGUUCCACUAUUUGAAUUCACGAUAUUUUUUUGAUGAAGUUAAAAUUUCAUUGAUAAAAAUGUUGUCGGGACAUAGAGAGACCUCCGGUCAUUCUUAUUUGAUAUCAUCUUUCAGUUCACCAUGGCUGAUAAAUCUGAGAAGAAAGCUAAGAGUAGAUGCUGUAGUCAUGUCUUACAUGGGCAAGGAGUCCAUUUCCUAUAGAGAAGACCCAUUAUCAUCAUGUUCGGAAGAGGGUGUAAAUUUAGACAAGAGGAGGAUAAUCAUCAGUUUUGAUUUCUUUUGGUCUUCUCGAGGUAACAAUGUCCUUUCUUCUUGCUAUUCUUCUGCUCUUGUUUUCUAUCUAGUGGAUUCCAGUUCCGUUUCUAUUCUUCCUAGCCUCCAACUUCUGUGGAUUCAGAUGUGAUUCUUUUUUUCUUGUAUUAUUUUGGGAUAUUGUGUGAAGUUCACGAAACUGUAGUCAAUUUUCAUAGAUUGGCUACAUCAGUAGACCCUUAUUUGACCCUGCCUCAUACCACUAUAUGAAGAAGGCAGAAAAUGACCCUCUGAUUUAGUUUAGUUUUGAGAACCUGAAUGACCCAUUUGAAGAUGUAUGAAAUUUAUCCCACCUACCAUAGAGUCAUUGGAUAAUGGAUAUGAAACUCAAUCUCUAAGGAGAUUGUUUCUCAAAUUAUGUAUACAGACGAUCUAACUGUAGCAUCACUAUCCUCUGCCAGGCAAACCUUAUUCUCAAGGUUUGCAUAUGGUGUUGGUCGGAUAAUUUCUGAGAUGUACGUCUUCCGAGUUCCCAUAAUCAAAGUCUUUUAGAUGUAGUAAGACUUGUACAAUGACAUCCAUUUACUACCAAUGACAUUCAUUUUAGGAUUGGUGGAUACUUUAAAUUUCAAGUUUUAUUUUCAAUUAGUGUCUUGUAAUAUUCAUCCUUCAUUGUCUUAUGCUAAUGGAGAAUAUUUAGAACUUCUUUAUAAUUUCUAGGUGUGAGAUCUCAUUAUUAUAUAACAUUUAAGCCACUAAAUCUUUGGAAUAUAUAUCUAUGUUCUCUAAGAUUUCUUCUUAACUUAAGUAUGUACUUCAAUCUAAGUGACAUUAUUUGAGGUGAAACAGUUAGUUGAAUUAAUGUUAAUAGGAAUAGAAGAAUAAUAAACAGAGUGAUUAGCUCAACCAAUCACAGUAAUUAUUAAGGGUGAUAUCGUUUCUUGAUUGUUUAAAGAAGGAUUACUAGGAGUAGAAGAAACAAGAUUUAAAAGGCAUCAAUACCGACGCACAGACUCUUCAGUAUGCUUUUCCAACUUAAGUCGUCAACGGUCAAGCUUGAUCACUCCUAGUUGAUGACACUAGUGCUCAUUUGCUCCAAGUGAGACUUUUUCGCCAUACACAAACUAAUUGUAUGGUCCAAAAUCACUCCUAACCUUUUUUUUAAAUAAAACCACAAUUAUAUUAAUUUUAAAACAAAAAAAAGAUAGUGCCACAUUCGGCCUAUCCCAUAUCCUUCGCAUUGAUCCGAUCAGUUGAUCUUACGAUCUAUUUGAUCUUCGCAAUCUUUGGAGACUGACAAUUAGUUCCUAAAACGAGUAUGCCUGCAUCGUUCCUACGUAGUCGGUAUAGGACAAUGGUUGGGUGAAAAAACCUAGUACAAUUAAAGUAAGGUUGGCUCAUUGGUCUCAGAAAUUAUUAAGGUUUUUAAGGUCCAGGGUUCGAAUCUUAUUUUGUACAUUUUCAUUUAAAAUUUAUCCGAUGAUAUAUUAUGUGGCUCUGGUAUAUCAUCCGGAGGUUGACAACUCUACAUCUGUAGAGAGGUACCCUCCGUUAUCAAAAAAAAGUGAAAAAAACUCUGGUAUGUUUCUGACAUUUUUUUCUUUUUCUAAAAAAAAUUCUACCAUCACUUUACGGUCCACUAGUUGUAAGUGACUUGCUAUAUCGUGUUUUCUACUUUCAAAAGGAUCUCAAUCCAUGAGAUUGAGGUUCCUAUUAUGGCGAUGAUCAAAUGUUUACACAAUUGGUCAUCCUAUUAGAUGAGUCAGAGUUUUAUCUUUAGUUGAAUUUUGGUUCAUUUCGGAUUUUUGAUCUUCUUUUUUCUUUUCUAGUAUAAGCUCUUAUACCUUUUAAGUUUCAGAUAUAGAUAAAUUAAAUUACAUUAUUUUUACGGUAUCUUUGCUGUCAGUUCUCUCGUGUUCGGCUCUUGUGGGCUUUGUAUCCAAGCUUGUAGUAGUCUUUUUUCCCUUUGCGUUCCCUUUGCUUUGUACCUUGUGGCUUUGAAAGUCUUUGUAACGUCUUCUAUAACUCUCCUCCCAAUCUCUUGUGCCCAGGUGAAUCUGUCUUCGUGGACCAAUUUAUUUCUCUCCGUCCAGACCAUGUAUGACCAUGCUAUACCCCAGCAACCUGAUUUUCUGGUCCUUCUGCUUGCCUCAUUCAUUACAUGUUCUAAUGAUAAACCUAUACGUGAUAUUAUACCUGGGUUUUUUUCCAAUUAAGUAACCCCAGAGGUCUUUUGCAAAUUUACAAUGAAAGAAUACGUGCUUUUGUGAUUCACAUGACCCCUUACAUAACACACACUCAGUGUUAACCCAAUUUAUUUUACCUUCCCAGUCCGUUCUUAUCGAUAUUUUGUUCCACCUAGCUUUUUAGAGUGUUAUAACGAAUUUUCUCUCACUAAUGGUCCACACGUACUUCUUCCCAUAGAUUAUCGAUUUUUUAGAGAUGUACCCAUCCCAUUCCAUUAAUAGUCGUAGUUAUCUUUACGUUUAAACGAUUUAUCAAUAAUUUUUUUUACUAUCAACUAUUUUCACCUAGUUCUCUAGAGGGUAGUAGCGAAUUUUUUCACACUAGUUGUCCACAUUCCUUUUUAUAGAUUAUCAAUUUCUUUAUAUGUUAGCAAUGUACCCACCCCUAACCCAUUCACUUGACAAUGGUGAUAAAAAAAACUUAGAUAAACUCUUGAGUUUAACGAAACUAUCUAAGGAGAUGAAGGAUUACUUCUACAUUCUCCACAGGAAAUUAUUGGGGAAAAGAAGAUAUAAGAUUCAACCAUUCAUUUUAUGAAUGAUUUUUCAUUUAAAUUCAGACGAUCUUAUAAGGAGUUAUGACAGACUCAAAUCCGUCCACCGCGAUAAAAAAAAAAAGAUGGUUCAAAUCUAACGACUUUCCAUAAGAAAAAACUGGUAAAGGUUUUGAAAUCGCCAUUCACUAUUGACCACUCACCAGCCAUCGGAAGAGUUGAAAGUUGUUGUAUCGAAACUGAUCCUCCCAAAAGGUAGAUUCCUAUGGCCCUCCUCAACAGCAAUCGAAAAACUAGAUUUCUCUUCUUGCCAAUCUUUCACAAUUUCAAGCAGAGGUCGUCUGGUUUCUCUUUCUUCGGUGAUCUCUCUCUUAGGUUUCCAUUUGGCGACGAGAGGCGACAGAAUAUUCACGACGCGAUCCAUGUCAGGUCGUUGAUGCGGGUCCCUCUCCGUACAAUUUCCAGCAAGCUCGGCGACUGUGUAGAUGCUUGGAAAGGUAGUUUCCAACAUGUUAGUAAGAUCUGGAUCGAUCGCUGUCUUGAGAUUUUCCUCACUGGUUAUCAUGGUUGGGAACCAGGUCGCUAGAUGCCUAGUCUCCUUGGAUCUAUUGUCGUCAAGUGCUGCUAAGCCGGUAACUAGCUCCAUCAACACUACUCCGAAGCUAAACACGUCGGCCUUCGUCGUUAUCUUCCCCGUUACUGAAAAGAAAAUUAUUCGGUCCGGUGAUCCCAGAAUCUUAGAAGAAAGUAGAACAAGAACAAGAGGAAUAGUGAUUAACUUACUAGCAUAUUCAGGAGCAAGGUAACCAAACGUUCCGGCAAGGCGAGUAGGGAUCGAGUUACCAUCAGGGGCGGAUUUGACCAAUCCGAAAUCGGAAAUCUUAGCACUGUAAUCUUCUCCAAGGAGGAUAUUGGAAGAUUUGAGAUCUCUGUGGAUAAAAGAGUGAGAUGCUAAUGUAUGUAGAUACUCCAAUCCUCUGGCCAUAUCCAAGGCAAUGCUCAACCUUGCAUUCCAUGGUAGAGGUUUAAUUCCGGCGACGCGCUUCGAUCGGAAGAGAUGAUUGCUCAAAGCUCCAUUAGCCAUGUACUCGUACACAAGAAGUCUCUCGUUGCCUUCGAUCGAGUAACCCAACAAUGAGACGAGGUUCCGGUGACGGAGUUUAGACAGAGCUGAGAUCUCGGAAUGGAACUCGGUUAUAGCUUUGGAAUUUCUGGAGAGCGGAAACGACUCCAUUCUCUUCACGGCUAGAAGUAACCCAUUUUCACACUUUCCUUUGUAGACCACUCCGAAACCUCCACAUCCGAGAAUGUUCUCCGAGGAGAAGUUCUCUGUUAUGGAUUGGAGAUUUGCUAAUGGGAUUUGUACUGUCUCUGAAUUGCUUCCAGUGAGGUUUAUAUCGAAUAUAUUCUCUAUAAUUGUCUUUUUCGAUUCAUCAUUAAUUCUACCUCUGUCAUCCGUACUGGCAUCACCGUCGCUGUUUUCGUUUUUCUUUCCAUGGUUAUGAAUAGAGAAAGCAAACGAACAACAGAGAAUGAACACGAUCGCAGCUGCAGAAGCUAUUUGCAUGAUAGUGAAUAUCGUAGACCAUGGGCGACUGG